GACGUAGGGACCAAGCGUUGUUCGGAUUUACUGGGCGUAAAGGGCGCGUAGGCGGCGCGGUAAGUCACUUGUGAAAUCUCUGAGCUUAACUCAGAACGGCCAAGUGAUACUGCAGUGCUAGAGUGUGGAAGGGGCAAUCGGAAUUCUUGGUGUAGCGGUGAAAUGCGUAGAUAUCAAGAGGAACACCUGAGGUGAAGACGGGUUGCUGGGCCAACACUGACGUGAGGCGCGAAAGCCAGGGGAGCAAACGGG
rnacentral:rRNA from 1 species